AAAUUAGACUGUAAGCAGUAUACUCCGGAAUACUGUGCGGAACCAAUGGACAGGACUACUCUAACAGAUGCUACUUUGCUAAAGCACAGUGUGCAGACAGAUCCCUGCAUAACGCUGGAGAAGGAUCGUGUGCUUCUUUAGGAUUAAAGGCAACACAAGCCACUACUGCCAAGAUUACCACUACACAGCCAACAACUAUCACAACACAUCCGGUUACCACUGCCCAGACCACCACUGAUCCUCUCCGCGUCAUUUGUGACUCAAUCUCUCAUGUUCACUGUGCCAACGACAUUGAACCUGUCUGCGGAUCAGCGACCGGACAUACGUCAAUACAUGCGAGUUUCAUAUUGAAGUUUGCCAGCGUCGUGAUUGACAAUCAAGCAUAUUGGAUUUUGUUGAACAGAAAUUUGUAAAACAUUAUGAGUUUGAAUAAACG